GGGGCCUUGGGGCCGCGAGUGGGAGCGGGAGCGGUUCUGCGGCCUCCUCGGGCUUCUUGGCCCUGGGCGGAGUGGGAUUGGGUGUCCCGGCUGUUCGCAGUGGCCGCGAGUGCGGCCGGACCUGGAGUAGUACCUGAGCCGCUCUGGCCGAGCAAGGCGCGGGGCCCCGGUCUACACCGCGCUGGACCCGGCUAUGCCGUGACGGAAUUCCCGAGGCCGUAGCGCCACGCGAGACGCGCACUGGUGGCCUCCGCGGCGAGUCCUGGGGUCUCCGCAAGGCCUCAGUGCCCGAGCUGGGGACGUGCUGGGGGGAGGCCCGGCCCCGUCGCUGCCCGAGGCCCCGCUGUCCCGGCCGGACCGGCCUGGUCCCUGGCGUCCUGUCGGGUCCGCGCUGGAGGAGAGUCCCAGACAGCAGAGCCCGCGGUGCAGCUCCAGCCCCGGGAAGCCCCGCGCUCAACAGGUUAAUACUACACAGCGGCGAUUCUAAUGGUCACGCUUUUAUUUACAGCUCGCCUCCCUUCCGCCAAGAUUCACAGAACACGGCAGAGUGGCCUCGGGAUCACCUGCCCAAGACACCUGCACGACCGGAAGUUGGGAGAAGAAAUUAAGGCCAUGAUGAUGAACGCAGCCUUUCUCGUUUAUUUCCAAUCCCACAACAAACCGGAGUCCAGGAACUCAUGGGAGGCCGAGGUGGGCGGAUUGCCUGAGUU
rnacentral:lncRNA from 1 species